CAGCCGCCACGGUAAUACGAAGGGGGCUAGCGUUGUUCGGAAUUACUGGGCGUAAAGCGCACGUAGGCGGAUACUUAAGUUAGGGGUGAAAUCCCAGGGCUCAACCCUGGAACUGCCUUUAAUACUGGGUAUCUUGAGUUCGAGAGAGGUAAGUGGAAUUCCGAGUGUAGAGGUGAAAUUCGUAGAUAUUCGGAGGAACACCAGUGGCGAAGGCGGCUUACUGGCUCGAUACUGACGCUGAGGUGCGAAAGCGGGGGGAGCAAACAGGAUUAGAUACCCGCGUAGUCCCUGUCUCUUAUAC
rnacentral:rRNA from 1 species